rnacentral:rRNA from 1 species
UACGUAGGUGGCAAGCGUUGUCCGGAAUUAUUGGGCGUAAAGCGCGCGCAGGCGGUCCUUUAAGUCUGAUGUGAAAGCCCACGGCUCAACCGUGGAGGGUCAUUGGAAACUGGGGGACUUGAGUGCAGGAGAGAAGAGUGGAAUUCAUGGUGUAGCAGUGAAAUGCGUAGAGAUCAUGAGGAAGACCAGUGGCGAAGGCGGGUCUCUGGACAGUUCCUGACACUGAGACACGAAGGCCAGGGGAGCAAACGGG